rnacentral:tRNA from 2 species
GCGGAUGUGGCGGAACUGGUAGACGCGCUGGAUUUAGGAUCCAGUGAGCUUUGCUCGUGGAGGUUCGAGUCCUCUCAUCCGCACAA